rnacentral:rRNA from 1 species
AAAAUCCCGCAAGGGAUUAGUAGAGUGGCAAACGGGUGAGUAACACGUGGGUGACCUGCCUUCGAGUGGGGGAUAACGUCCCGAAAGGGACGCUAAUACCGCAUGACAUCCUGCCUUUGAAGAGGUGGAGCUUAAAGCCGGGGAUCGCAAGACCUGGCGCUUGAAGAGGGGCCCGCGCCUGAUUAGCUAGUUGGUGAGGUAACGGCUCACCAAGGCAACGAUCAGUAUCCGGCCUGAGAGGGCGGACGGACACACUGGGACUGAGACACGGCCCAGACUCCUACGGGAGGCAGCAGUGGGGAAUUGUUCGCAAUGGGCGCAAGCCUGACGACGCAACGCCGCGUGGAGGAUGAAGACCUUCGGGUCGUAAACUCCUUUCGAUCGAGACGAACGGCCCCUGGGCUAAUCACCAGGGGAGUGACGGUACCGAGAGAAGAAGCCCCGGCUAACUCCGUGCCAGCAGCCGCGGUAAUACGGGGGGGGCAAGCGUUGUUCGGAAUUACUGGGCGUAAAGGGCUCGUAGGUGGCCAACUAAGUCAUACGUGAAAUCCCUCGGCUUAACCGGGGAACUGCGUCUGAUACUGGAUGGCUUGAGGUUGGGAGAGGGAUGCGGAAUUCCAGGUGUAGCGGUGAAAUGCGUAGAUAUCUGGAGGAACACCGGUGGCGAAGGCGGCAUCCUGGACCAAUUCUGACACUGAGGAGCGAAAGCCAGGGGAGCAAACGGGAUUAGAUACCCCGGUAGUCCUGGCCCUAAACGAUGAAUGCUUGGUGUGGCGGGUAUCGAUCCCUGCCGUGCCGAAGCUAACGCAUUAAGCAUUCC